GAUGAACGCUGGCGGCGUGCUUAACACAUGCAAGUCGAACGGAAAGGCCCAAGCUUGCUUGGGUACUCGAGUGGCGAACGGGUGAGUAACACGUGGGUGAUCUGCCCUGCACUUCGGGAUAAGCCUGGGAAACUGGGUCUAAUACUGGAUAGGACCACUUCUUGGAUGGUGUGGUGGAAAGAUUUUUCGGUGUGGGAUGAGCUCGCGGCCUAUCAGCUUGUUGGGGGGGUAGUGGCCUACCAAGGCGUCGACGGGUAGCCGGCCUGAGAGGGUGUACGGCCACAUUGUGAGUGAGAUACGGCGCAGACACCUACGCGAGGGAGCAGUGGGGAAUAUUGCGCAAUGGGGGCAAGACUGAUGCGGCGACGCGGCGUGGGGGAUGACGGCCUUCGGGUUGUGAACUCCUUUCGCUAGGGACGAAGCGUUUUUGUGACGGUACCUGGAGAAGAAGCACCGGCUAACUACGUG
rnacentral:rRNA from 1 species